CCUACGGGAGGCUGCAGUGGGGAAUAUUGGACAAUGGGCGAAAGCCUGAUCCAGCCAUGCCGCGUGUGUGAAGAAGGCCUUCGGGUUGUAAAGCACUUUCAGUGGGGAAGAAAGCCUUGGGGCUAAUACCCUCGAGGAAGGACAUCACCCACAGAAGAAGCACCGGCUAACUCCGUGCCAGCAGCCGCGGUAAUACGGAGGGGGCGAGCGUUAAUCGGAAUUACUGGGCGUAAAGCGCGCGUAGGCGGUCUGAUAAGCCGGUUGUGAAAGCCCCGGGCUCAACCUGGGAACGGCAUCCGGAACUGUCAGGCUAGAGUGCAGGAGAGGAAGGUAGAAUUCCCGGUGUAGCGGUGAAAUGCGUAGAGAUCGGGAGGAAUACCAGUGGCGAAGGCGGCCUUCUGGACUGACACUGACGCUGAGGUGCGAAAGCGUGGGUAGCAAACAGGAUUAGAUACCCUAGUAGUC
rnacentral:rRNA from 1 species